rnacentral:siRNA from 1 species
GACUACACCGGUGACACCUUUGAC